UAAAAAAUAAAUAAAAAAAAAUUAUAACCCCCAACUGGCCCUCACUAUGCCAGUUUUCCUUGCUUUAUUCUUCUUCAUAGGACUCACCACCAUCUGAUAGAAUACACUGUUUACCUAUUUACAUAGUCUGUCUUCCCCAAUUAGAAUGUAGGCCUCAAGAAGGAGGAAUUUUUGACUGCUUGGAUCAUAACAUUUCCCUAGUACCUGAAAUGGUGCUAAAUACAAACCAUACAGGAAAUACUUAUUGAAUAUAUCAAUAUACCAUGUUGGUAGACAUGUAAAUUGGUUUACUUCUUUUGAGAACAGUGUGCCUAUUUCUAUCAAAUCUAUAAAUAAACUUAACUUUGACCCAGCAUUUCUACUUAAGAGUAAAUUAGGAUGUAACUGUAUCUGCACAUCUCUGCAAAGCAAUAUAAACAAGUAUAUUCACUUGCAUCUUCACUCACACAAGUCUGGAAACAACCUAAAUGUCCGUUAGAGACAGGUUAAAUGAAUUAAGUGUUGAUGGAGAAAAGAAGAAAACUAUGUACACGAUAGAAUACAUACCACCAUUUAAAUGAAAAGACUGAGUGCUUAUAUAUACUUGUAUUUGCACCACAGAUACAUUAAUAUAUGCUUGUUUAUUCACAGACUGCCUCAAGAAGAAUCCAUGUGAAACUCUUAAGUGACUGCAGCUUUGAAAAAGAACUACAGGACCAAGGAGUUUGUCUUCGUGCUUCAACAGAGGAUCACAUCCAGCCUGAUCAGUCCACAACCUGCUACUGGGGAAAUGACACAGCACUAGAAUGUUAAUGCUGGAGCCAAAGUUCUCUCCUAGAACUCGGCUGAGCCCUGGGGCCUCCCGAACCUUCUGAAGGAUGAGGACGGUGCAAUCUCCAGGAAUGCACAAGGAAGUGACCCUGUGAAAAAGAAUAAAGUAAUAACUUUUUGCCUUAAGAGAUUAAAGCACAUACAACUAUA